rnacentral:rRNA from 1 species
CCUACGGGAGGCAGCAGUAGGGAAUAUUGCUCAAUGGGGGAAACCCUGAAGCAGCAACGCCGCGUGGGGGAAGAAGGUUUUCGGAUUGUAAACCCCUUUUGGUAGGGAAGAAAAUGACGGUAUCUAACGAAUAAGCACCGGCUAACUCCGUGCCAGCAGCCGCGGUAAUACGGAGGGUGCUAGCGUUACUCGGAAUCACUGGGCGUAAAGGGCGCGUAGGCGGGAUAGCAAGUCAGAUGUGAAAUCCUAUGGCUUAACCAUAGAACUGCAUUUGAAAAUGUUAUUCUAGAGUAUGGGAGAGGUAGGUGGAAUGCGUGGUGUAGCGGUAAAAUCCGUAGAGAUCAAGAGGAAUACUGAUUGCGAAGGCGACCUGCUAGAACAUAACUGACGCUGAUGCGCGAAAGCGUGGGGAGCAAACAGGAUUAGAUACCCGAGUAGUC